UUCAUACUACACUGAAGUGCCCCAAUUUAAGCUGUAACAUCAACAAGAUUUUACUAAAAGGCACUGGGAACUUUAACAGUUAGAAUGCAGUGACCUAUGAUGAUGUGCAUGUUGACAUCACUUGGGAAGAGUGGACUUUGCUGGAUCCUUCCCAGAAGAAUCUCUACAAAGAUGUGAUGCUGGAGACCUACAGGAACCUCACUACUAUAGAUUGGAUCAACUUUUGGCUCGAGUAAGUUACCCAUUUCCAAGCCACCACCUGUAGAGAGGUCCAGGACCUUUACUGAGUCAAGACCCCUUCUAAGUCAAAGAGUUUUGGAGUUCCUGCUAAGCUGUGGCCACACUGGGAAACUCUGAUCUAUUUCUGGAGCAAAGACCAUCUUUGUUCAUUUUGUGGAGGUCCAAUUCUACAAAAAGACAGAUCUCACAUUCACCCCCUCAACCCAGGAACUCAAGCAAUUAUGUGGCAUAUACAGCAAUAAAGUUAGAUUAGCUGGA